ACGUAGGGGGCAAGCGUUAUCCGGAUUUACUGGGUGUAAAGGGAGCGUAGGCGGCAGCGCAAGUCAGAAGUGAAAGCCCGGGGCUCAACUCCGGGACUGCUUUUGAAACUGUGUAGCUAGAUUGCAGGAGAGGUAAGUGGAAUUCCUAGUGUAGCGGUGAAAUGCGUAGAUAUUAGGAGGAACACCAGUGGCGAAGGCGGCUUACUGGACUGUAAAUGACGCUGAGGCUCGAAAGCGUGGGGAGCAAACAG
rnacentral:rRNA from 1 species